AUUGAACGCUGGCGGCAUGCCUAACACAUGCAAGUCGAACGAACCUUCGGGUUAGUGGCGGACGGGUGAGUAACGCGUGAGAAUCUGCCCUCAGGAGGGGGAUAACGGCUGGAAACGGCCGCUAAUACCCCAUAUGCUGCGAGGUGAAAUGAAUUUCGCCUGAGGAUGAGCUCGCGUCUGAUUAGCUAGUUGGUGGGGUAAGAGCCUACCAAGGCUUCGAUCAGUAGCUGGUCUGAGAGGAUGAUCAGCCACACUGGGACUGAGACACGGCCCAGACUCCUACGGGAGGCAGCAGUGGGGAAUUUUCCGCAAUGGGCGAAAGCCUGACGGAGCAACGCCGCGUGAGGGAUGAAGGCCUCUGGGCUGUAAACCUCUUUUAUCAAGGAAGAAGAUCUGACGGUACUCGAUGAAUAAGCCACGGCUAAUUCCGUG
rnacentral:rRNA from 1 species